rnacentral:rRNA from 1 species
AGAGUUUGAUCAUGGCUCAGAUUGAACGCUGGCGGCAGGCCUAACACAUGCAAGUCGAGCGGUAGCACAGAGAGCUUGCUCUCGGGUGACGAGCGGCGGACGGGUGAGUAAUGUCUGGGAAACUGCCUGAUGGAGGGGGAUAACUACUGGAAACGGUAGCUAAUACCGCAUAAUGUCGCAAGACCAAAGUGGGGGACCUUUGGGCCUCAUGCCAUCAGAUGUGCCCAGAUGGGAUUAGCUAGUAGGUGGGGUAAUGGCUCACCUAGGCGACGAUCCCUAGCUGGUCUGAGAGGAUGACCAGCCACACUGGAACUGAGACACGGUCCAGACUCCUACGGGAGGCAGCAGUGGGGAAUAUUGCACAAUGGGCGCAAGCCUGAUGCAGCCAUGCCGCGUGUGUGAAGAAGGCCUUCGGGUUGUAAAGCACUUUCAGCGGGGAGGAAGGCGUUAAGGUUAAUAACCUCAUCGAUUGACGUUACCCGCAGAAGAAGCACCGGCUAACUCCGUGCCAGCAGCCGCGGUAAUACGGAGGGUGCAAGCGUUAAUCGGAAUUACUGGGCGUAAAGCGCACGCAGGCGGUCUGUCAAGUCGGAUGUGAAAUCCCCGGGCUCAACCUGGGAACUGCAUUCGAAACUGGCAGGCUAGAGUCUUGUAGAGGGGGGUAGAAUUCCAGGUGUAGCGGUGAAAUGCGUAGAGAUCUGGAGGAAUACCGGUGGCGAAGGCGGCCCCCUGGACAAAGACUGACGCUCAGGUGCGAAAGCGUGGGGAGCAAACAGGAUUAGAUACCCUGGUAGUCCACGCCGUAAACGAUGUCGAUUUGGAGGUUGUGCCCUUGAGGCGUGGCUUCCGGAGCUAACGCGUUAAAUCGACCGCCUGGGGAGUACGGCCGCAAGGUUAAAACUCAAAUGAAUUGACGGGGGCCCGCACAAGCGGUGGAGCAUGUGGUUUAAUUCGAUGCAACGCGAAGAACCUUACCUGGUCUUGACAUCCACAGAACUUUCCAGAGAUGGAUUGGUGCCUUCGGGAACUGUGAGACAGGUGCUGCAUGGCUGUCGUCAGCUCGUGUUGUGAAAUGUUGGGUUAAGUCCCGCAACGAGCGCAACCCUUAUCCUUUGUUGCCAGCGGUUAGGCCGGGAACUCAAAGGAGACUGCCAGUGAUAAACUGGAGGAAGGUGGGGAUGACGUCAAGUCAUCAUGGCCCUUACGACCAGGGCUACACACGUGCUACAAUGGCAUAUACAAAGAGAAGCGACCUCGCGAGAGCAAGCGGACCUCAUAAAGUAUGUCGUAGUCCGGAUUGGAGUCUGCAACUCGACUCCAUGAAGUCGGAAUCGCUAGUAAUCGUAGAUCAGAAUGCUACGGUGAAUACGUUCCCGGGCCUUGUACACACCGCCCGUCACACCAUGGGAGUGGGUUGCAAAAGAAGUAGGUAGCUUAACCUUCGGGAGGGCGCUUACCACUUUGUGAUUCAUGACUGGGGUGAAGUCGUAACAAGGUAACCGUAGGGGAACCUGCGGUUGGAUCACCU